GACUCGCUAGCUCAGUAGGUUAGAGCGCCGAUAUACAGAUUUACUUGACCAUCGGAGGGCGGAGGUUCAAAUCCUUCACGAGUCA
rfam:Danaus plexippus plexippus isolate F-2 unplaced genomic scaffold DPSCF300010, whole genome shotgun sequence.